rnacentral:rRNA from 1 species
AUGUGUGGAAAUGACAAUGAAACUUUGUUUCAUUCGCUGAUGGAGUGUGAUAUUGCUCUGCGAUUCUGGGAGGCGGCCGAACGGUUCUUUGAUAUUCGUAUCCCGAGGCUGAACCCAAUGACAUGGUCAAGUGAUCUACUUGAUCAUAGACUGUUCAAGAAGGAAGAGGCUGCUAUUAUGAUUACGGUCAUGUGGGCGGUGUGGCACUCAAGGAACAGAUAUACACAUGGAGAACAGGAGUAUCAACCGUCGCAAUCCAUGAUCAUCAUUGAAGAGAUAGUGCGAGCUUUGGAGAUUCCAGCUACAGAAAAGACCCAGGCCGUUGCCCUCCCAAGAUGGCAGCCACCGGAAGAGGGUUGGGUUAAAAUCAACACGGAUGGAGCUACACACUCUGCAAGGGUGCGAGGAGGAACGGGCUUUGUUGCCCGUGAUCACCAUGGACAUUAUCUGAGAGCGGGAGGCUCAAAGUGUGAGGGGAUGAAUGAUCCGUUGACUCUUGAACUUCUUGCCUGCAGAGACGCACUUUCCAUGGCACAUGAUAUGGGUCUACACCAAGUUGAAGUCGAAACGGAUUGCCAGGAAAUCAUACGGCUGUGGGAGACUACGCAGAAAUCGUCAUGUUAUCAUCUGUUGAGAGAGAUGGAAGUGUUGAGUACCUUUUUCAGGGAUUCAGGCUACGGUUCGCCAGCCGGCGAUGUAGUACGGUGGCUCACCGGGUAG